UGAUCAUGGCUCAGAAUGAACGCUGGCGGCGUGCUUAACACAUGCAAGUCGAACGAGAAAGUUCUUUUCGGAGAGCGAGUAGAGUGGCGCACGGGUGAGUAACACGUGGAUAAUCUACCUUCAAGUUUGGGACAACCAUUCGAAAGGAUGGCUAAUACCGGAUGAAGUAUGUAUUCGUACUGGAUAUAUAUGAAAGACAGCCUCUGCAUAUGCUGUUGCUUGGAGAUGAGUCCGCGCACCAUUAGCUUGUUGGUGGGGUAAUGGCCUACCAAGGCAGCGAUGGUUAGCUGGUCUGAGAGGAUGAUCAGCCACACUGGAACUGGAACACGGUCCAGACUCCUACGGGAGGCAGCAGUGAGGGAUUUUGCGCAAUGGGGGAAACCCUGACGCAGCAACGCCGCGUGAGUGAAGAAGGUCUUUGGGUCGUAAAGCUCUGUCAACAGGGAAGAAAUUAUAUUGUAUUAAUAGUACAUUGUAUUGACGGUACCUGUGAAGGAAGCACCGGCUAACUCCGUGCCAGCAGCCGCGGUAACACGGGGGGUGCAAGCGUUAUUCGGAAUUAUUGGGCGUAAAGGGCGCGUAGGCGGUCUUGUCAGUCAGAUGUGAAAGCCCGGGGCUCAACCCCGGAAGUGCAUUUGAAACAGCAAGACUUGAGUACGGGAGAGGAAAGCGGAAUUCCUGGUGUAGAGGUGAAAUUCGUAGAUAUCA
rnacentral:rRNA from 1 species